rnacentral:rRNA from 1 species
UAAGCGGANGAAAAGNNNUNNCNAAGGAUUCCCCUAGUAACUGCGAGUGAAGCGGGAAAAGCUCAAAUUUAAAAUCUGGUGGUCUUUGGCCGUCCGAGUUGUAAUUUAGAGAAGCGUCUUCCGCGCUGGACCGUGCACAAGUCUCCUGGGACGGAGCGUCGUAGAGGGUGAGAAUCCCGUCUUUGGCAUGGACACACCAGGGCUUUUGCGAUGCGCUCUCGAAGAGUCGAGUUGUUUGGGAAUGCAGCUCAAAAUGGGUGGUGAACUCCAUCUAAAGCUAAAUAUUGGCGAGAGACCGAUAGCGAACAAGUACCGUGAGGGAAAGAUGAAAAGCACUUUGGAAAGAGAGUGAAACAGUACGUGAAAUUGUUGAAAGGGAAGCGCUUGAAGUCAGUCGCGUCGUCCGAGACUCAGCCUCGCCUCGGCUUGGCGUACUUCUCGGCCCGACGGGUCAGCAUCAAUUUCGCCUCUCGGAUAAUGGCGAGGGAAAAGUGACACCUUUACGGUGUGUUAUAGUCUCUCGUCGCAUGCGAGGGUCGGGAUUGAGGAACUCAGCACGCGCCCUCGGGCGUCGGGGCUUUCGCCCACGAUACGUGCUUAGGAUGUUGGCGUAAUGGCUUUAAACGACC